AGCCCGGUGGGGUAGCGGUCAAGCCUCCCGGCCUCUGGAGCCGGGGACCCCGGUUCGAAUCCGGGCCGGGCUACCA
rnacentral:tRNA from 2 species